UAGAUGCGAGAGUAGAGCAUAUCAAUAAGCGGAGGAAAAGAAACUAACAAGGAUUCCCUUAGUAACGGCGAGUGAAGCGGGAAGAGCUCAAAUUUGAAAUCUUCAAGGUUCUACCUUGACGAAUUGUAGUUUAAAGAGGUGUUUUCUGUUAGAUGAGUAGCAAAAGUUCCUUGGAAUGGGACAUCAUAGAGGGUGAGAAUCCCGUAUUUGGUUAUUCAUUCUAGCUUUGUGAUACACUUUCAAAGAGUCGGAUUGUUUGGGAAUGCAGUCCAAAAUGGGUGGUAAAUUUCAUCUAAAGCUAAAUAUUGGCGAGAGACCGAUAGCGAACAAGUACCGUGAGGGAAAGAUGAAAAGAACUUUGAAAAGAGAGUUAAACAGUACGUGAAAUUGUCAAAAGGGAAGCGUUUGACACCAGUGUUGUUUUUCCGAAAAUCAAUUACGAAUGGCUUGAUUUUGUGUUGUAUUGACCUUAUCAGCUUUCUGCACUUUUUUUCGAGUCUUUCUUAAUGCACUUUUCGGUUAACAAGUCAACAUCAAUUUCUUUUGUUGUAAAAGAGUAUUCGGAAGGUGGCUUUCUUUUCGGAGAAAGUGUUUAUAGCCCUAUACUUCUACAAUCGGAGAGAUUGAGGUCUGCAGCGUAGAUCCUUCGGGGUUAGAUACACUUGUGCUAAGUUGUAGCUUUUCAUAGACAACUUGUUGACUAUGUUUAGUCAUGCGGCUUACUCGCUUAGUGCUAUUUUACCUACGCUUAGGAUGUUGAGCGCAUGUCUCUCUCU
rnacentral:rRNA from 1 species